CUGGGAUAUGGGGAUAUGUAUCCCCAAACAUGGUCAGGGAUGCUGGUGGGAGCCUUGUGUGCUCUGGCUGGAGUGCUGACCAUAGCCAUGCCAGUUCCUGUGAUUGUCAACAAU
rfam:Cavia porcellus supercont2_9 genomic scaffold, whole genome shotgun sequence.